rnacentral:lncRNA from 1 species
GAAAAAAUGAUAAUUGUGGCGAUAAAAAUUCGUCAUUUGCGAAAGAAUUUGGCGAAAGAAAUAUAUAGAACGAUUUAUUUUCCUCCAUCUUGUUUAUUUACUUUUUUCGAGUUUCUCGGACUUUACCUAUCAGACAAUACUCGGAAUUCACCUUGACAUCAUUAAGAUUUGGACAGAAAAUCAAUAAUCAGCUGAUUGCAUUUUAUAGCUAUCGACAACAAAGGACUAAUUAAUAAAGGUGUUGAUUGAAUUGUUUGACAAAAUGAUAUGGUUAAAUGGCUUCCGCUAAAUGUCACAUACAGAAUUUAUUUACCACUUUGCGACGCACGUGUUUGAAGCAAACUUUUGACGUCUCCUCUCUUUUUAAAGAUAGUUUAGAAAAGAAAGCUCUUGUUGUGACGAAAAAUUUUCAAAAACAAGAAAAAUCUCCGAUUUAAAACUUUAAUUAUCCUUUGACUUUAAUAUAGGUAUUUGAUAAGGGAGACUACUUUAAAGUCGUUUGAGUGACACGUGUGUUUCAAGCAUAGUUUGACGUCUCAACUUUUUCAUUUACGAUGGUCAAGAAAUGAAACCUGUCGUUAUGAAGAAAUCUAUCCAAAAGGUUGGGAACAACCCCUUGAAUGAGAGUAGCCCUUCAAUGUUAUGACUACACAUGAAAUGAGGGAUCAAAAUAUCAUGUGAUAAAAGCUUUUGUUUUGUUGUAAAAACCACUUCUUAGUACAAAAGGGCACAUCAAUAUUUUUCUUUUAAAGAAACUUUCCC